rnacentral:rRNA from 1 species
AUUGAACGCUGGCGGCAUGCCUUACACAUGCAAGUCGAACGGCAGCAUGAUCUAGCUUGCUAGAUUGAUGGCGAGUGGCGAACGGGUGAGUAAUACAUCGGAACGUGCCCUGUAGUGGGGGAUAACUAGUCGAAAGAUUAGCUAAUACCGCAUACGACCUGAGGGUGAAAGUGGGGGACCGCAAGGCCUCAUGCUAUAGGAGCGGCCGAUGUCUGAUUAGCUAGUUGGUGAGGUAAAGGCUCACCAAGGCGACGAUCAGUAGCUGGUCUGAGAGGACGAUCAGCCACACUGGGACUGAGACACGGCCCAGACUCCUACGGGAGGCAGCAGUGGGGAAUUUUGGACAAUGGGCGAAAGCCUGAUCCAGCAAUGCCGCGUGUGUGAAGAAGGCCUUCGGGUUGUAAAGCACUUUUGUCCGGAAAGAAAUGGCUCUGGUUAAUACCUGGGGUCGAUAACGGUACCGGAAGAAUAAGGACCGGCUAACUACGUG